UGAGAAGUUUCCAUCGAAAAAAUUGGAAGACCAAUGACCACAUGGGAGAAUUCAAUUAAACAACUAAAACCCACAAUCAAGAACAAGCAAAACAAGAAGAACAGCCCAAACUCAGAUCCAAAUUUAUCACAAUCUUUCUUUUUAAGAAAAACACAAAUACACAAACACAAAAAAAAGGAAACAAGUACAAGAGCAAAAGACCCACAUCAAAGAUUCACAGCAUCUAUGGUUCUUCCUUCUUUUGUGUGAUCCAACUGUAUGACGGCGAGAGCGAACGACGGGCGAAAAAGAGGAUUCGUUUGAGAGGAGAUGUGCCGAUGUGAGGAGAAGAUUUCACAGACCUGUUGGAGAGGAAAUGUGCAGCUGUAGCAAAUUCGUUGAAGAGGAGAGAGGAGAGACGUGUACCAAGAAGGGAAUGGGAG
rnacentral:lncRNA from 1 species